UACAGAGGGUGCGAGCGUUAAUCGGAAUUACUGGGCGUAAAGCGUGCGUAGACGGCUAUCUAAGUCGGGUGUGAAAAGCCCCGGGGCUCAACCUGGGAAUUGCAUUCGAGACUGAAUAGCUAGGGUACGGUAGAGGGAAGUGGAAUUUCCGGUGUAGCGGUGAAAUGCGUAGAUAUCGGAAGGAACAUCAGUGGCGAAAGCGACUUCCAUGGACCAGUACCG
rnacentral:rRNA from 1 species